rnacentral:lncRNA from 1 species
UGCUCCGUGGUGGACUUCUCAAGUCUGAACAUCAUUCAUGAUAGGCUGAGAGUCAGAUGAUACAUAUAUCAAUAACAUAUAAGUCAAAAAAUUCUUCUCUUUCCGAUAUGUCUUUUAUAUGGCUUCAAUAUAACUUGAUAUAACUUGAUACUGUUAUGAUCCAUGCAUUUCAACAGGCUAUAAUCAUAAUUCAUCAAGCUUGAUCUGAUCAUAGCGUGUAACUUCAUUUAUUUCCACUU